rnacentral:tRNA from 1 species
UGUUCAGCCUGGGCACCAUGGGUUGCGCCACGGCACUGUCGAUGCCGUGGAUGCUGGCGGCCCGUGCGGUCCAGGGGUUGGGCGG